UUUCUGGUUGAUCCUGCCGGAGGCGACCGCUAUUGGAGUUCGAUUAAGCCAUGCGAGUCGAGAGUCUUAGGGACUCGGCAUACUGCUCAGUAACACGUGGAUAACCUGCCCUAUGCAAGGGGAUAACCUCGAGAAAUUGAGAAUAAUACCCUAUAGGUCACCAUGCCUGGAACGGUUGGUGACUAAAAGUUCAGGCGGCAUAGGAUGGGUCUGCGGCGUAUCAGGUUGUAGUGGGUGUAAUGUACCUACUAGCCAUUGACGCGUACGGGUGUUGGGAGACAUAGCCCGGAGAUGGAUUCUGAGACACGAAUCCAGACCCUACGGGGUGCAGCAGGCGCGAAAACUUCACACUGCAGGAAACUGUGAUGAGGGAACUCCAAGUGGUGCGGCAAAAUGUCGCAUCUUUUCUUAACUUUUAACAGGUUUUGGAAUAAGGGCUGGGAAAGACCGGUGCCAGCCGCCGCGGUAAUACCGGCAGCUCAAGUGGUCGUCGCUUUUAUUGGGCCUAAAACGUCCGUAGCCUGUUUAGUAAAUCCGUGGGUAAAUCAACGAGCUUAACUCGUUGACUUCUGCGGACACUGCUAGACUUGGGACCGGGAGAGGUGUGGGGUACUCAUGGGGUAGGGGUAAAAUCCUGUCAUCCCAUGAGGACCACCAGUUGCGAAGGCGCCACACUAGAACGGAUCCGACGGUCAGGGACGAAGCCUAGGGGCACGAACCGGAUUAGAUACCCGGGUAGUCCUAGGUGUAAACGCUGUGGACUUGGUGUCGGGGAUCCUCUAAGGGUUUCCGGUGCCGCAGCGAAGGUGUUAAGUCCACUGCCUGGGGAGUACGGUCGCAAGGCUGAAACUUAAAGGAAUUGGCGGGGGAGCACUGCAACGGGAGGAGCGUGCGGUUUAAUUGGAUUCAACGCCGGG
rnacentral:rRNA from 1 species